GGCACUUGGCACCCCUUACGCCUUACGGUGGCCGCUGCGCCCAGUCACAUCUAUUGCAUUUCUCUGGAAUGACCACAGCAAUAUUUCCAGCCCUUGAUGAUCUUCUAGAACUUUGCCACUUCCCUGCAUCAAGAGAGCCAUGGAGAAGAGGAGACAGAGUGUGCAAGGGAAUGAAGAAAAGGAACAAGACUAUUUUCAAAUCACCCAUGGCACUACUAGAAAUGUAUUUCAGCAAAAGGACUGGCUGAUUUUAUGAUUCCUGUGUCCACCACAGCCCUCUAAUUUUUACAUAGGUACCCCACAUCUCUCUAGAUUUCAGGAAGACUAUUAUCCUUCGACUUUAGCUUUCUGAUGGGUUCACAAAAAGCCAUUAGUGUGCUGUUGGUCCAGCUUUUUUCUGUUGCAAAUAUGAGAGCUACAGUUCUGAGAUGAAACCACAGAAACCCAUAUAUUUUCCAGCACUCCAUCCUCACUGUCAAAACUGUCAAGAACAUAAAGGGUCUGAGAUUGUGCCCUACUUGCAAGGCAACAAGUUAACCUGGCAUAGUUUCAUGUAUGCU
rnacentral:lncRNA from 10 species